rnacentral:lncRNA from 1 species
AAUUCAGUAUGACUGGUGUCCUUAUAAGAAGAGGGAACUUGGACACGCAAUGAGAUACCAGGGAUGCGCACGUACAGCAGAAAGACUGUGUGAGGACACAGAGCGGCGUCUCUUUGUGUGCCGAGGAGAGAGGCCUCAAGAAAAACCAAACUUGCUGACACCUUGAUCUUGGACUUCCAGCCUCCAGAAUUGUUUGGACUCCGUACCUGAUGACGAUUUCUAACACCGCCCCUUUGGACAAGUGUGUCUGCACCUCUGAGCAAUGAAUUUAAAAAGAAACUUUUGGGAUACAACCCAUUUGUCUUAUAGGCUGUGGCGUCCAUUAAUUUUUGAGACCCUAAAGAGUUCCCCUGGGGGGAAAGGUGGCCGGUGCUCUGAUCAUCUUUGAAGCUCCAGAUGUUUUGAGAAUGGACUACGUUCUCCAUAUUGGAAAAUCUCAAGAAAUCCAAGGAUGGCGUUCAAAGCCGCCUUUGGGACCAGCAGCUGUCGUAAAACAGAAUAUAUUGUCCUUGAAGAGUUCCUGCCUUUUCUGCUUCUCGUGUUGGAAUGUGUGUGCUCAUGUGUGCUGGGAAACCCUUUCAAGUGGAACCCACCCCACUGAGUAAGCUGGGCCCUUAUCCAGUCCUCUCUCCUUUGUGACAGAGGCAGUGUUGGGUCACACCCCACUUUGUAUUUUGGCGGCAGCAGUGGCGACAGCUGUCACAGCAGACGGUUUUUGAUCGAUGGUGAGAUACGGCGGGAAGAGGGACUGGCGGGCUCGUUUCGACUUGCUCAUCUGUUUUUCGCUUGGGUUCAGGCACCGUGUGUUCACAUUUAAUUUUUCAACAUCUCAACAGCUUCUCAGUUUGUCCAAAACAUAAAAGACUCCUCUAAAGUCAGCAAGAAGCAUCUGCUAUUGCCGGAAAUGUUGAUUGGACCUUUUGGAAUCCAAUUUCAUGAUCGUUUCUCCUUCAUCUCCACCCACAGCACCUUCCUUCUUUUUUCCCCGAAGAGGCCCAUUGCUGGCAGCCACCCACCUUCAGUGCAUGCUUUGCUUGUUUAUUAUCUCUCAUCUUACUUGAGAUAAAUAGUUGCAAGAACAACUUCAGAGGUUUAUUAGUCUACACAAGACAGGAGAAACAAGGAAUGGUACCUGGAGAAGUAAAAAAGGGAGUUAUGCUUCAGAUUCCACCUUCCCAUGUGCUUCCAUCAAGAUGUAGAAGAUGGGUCUUGGUUAGUGCUUCAAGGCAAGGAUUGCCUUUAUUUGACUCCAGAAACAAUUGGUCUCUCCCUUCCUAACAGAGUGGUUGGGAUUAAGAAAUAUUCUGAUCGAAAGGGAGGAUGUUAUCACUCAUCUCAAACUGUGGACCCUGCUCUCUGACUACUGCUCCUUACGGGCCAUCUCUCCUUUCUUCCUCCAUGCUCACCCCACUUGCUCUCACCCUUCAUGAGUGUGUGAACUCUUCUCUGGAGCUGGAAAAAUCUCAUGCAGCUGCUGCCCAUGGAAGCUACGCCAACAUCACACGGCUGACCAUGGGUAAAGGAAACCGCAGAAAGUGAAACCGUGGAUAAGAGGAGACAACUGUAUCAUCUCCUUUUACAUCAUCUCUAGAAUUUUCUACACCUUCCUAUUUGAUGGGAAUAUGGAUGAAGCGCCAACCACGAGGAACCAUGUCAUCAGAUUUUGGGAUUGUGGCAGUUAUUGCAAGACUUUGAAAUUAAUGGCUCAGCCUUUAGAUAGGACUUAGAAUGUUUACACAGGACGUUAGAGACCACCUAAACGAAUCCUUCUAUUUUACAUACGGGGAAAUUGAGGCCCAGAUUAGGGAGGUGACUUAUCUGAGGUCACACAGCCACUUUGAGUCAUUGCCUUUCUUAUUCUACCCAAGUAUACUUGGUGGAUAAAUAUUUGUACUUUUAAAAAAGAUUACUGUGGACAUAUGCCCCCAUUUCCUUGGAUACCCAUUUAGGGGCCGUCAAAUUCUCUUUAUAAAUAAAUUAAAUACUCAGAUUGCAAUGUAAGCCAGUUUUCAUAUAAAGGAUUAAGCCUACUAAAGUUCAAUAACCUGGAAGGUCCAGUUAGGCAGCCCCUUCCUUGAGAAACGAGAGGAAUCCCCUGGCCCGGUAAUGGGCUCGCAUUCAGGAAACCAAAGCCAGGUCUUCCUGGCUCCUUCUUGGACUUUUCUGUGAUGUAAUCAGAGUCCCUUUGGGCUUGUUCCUCCGUAGAUGGUAGCUGGCUCUCCCUGCCUUCUGCAGGUUGGUGUUGUCAUUCUUGGAAGGGGCCCAGGCUGGAUGCUGCUCAUGUGAUUGGAGCUUGCUGGGUUGAGGGUGUUUAUCCAAAAUGCAUUACCUACUGGGCCUUGAUCCAAAGGGAGGAAGAGAGCUCGCCUCUUCCUGCGAGGAGUUCUAGAUUCCCAACCAGAGACAGCAAUGCCUUCAGGCCAGUCCUCUGCCUGAUUUGUCACUGAAAUUCUCCUUCUGUCCAGAUGUUAAUGGACAAGUCCUUCCUCUGCCCUCUGAGAGGAUUUCUGGUUGUGAUCGAAAAUUUGUGGGUUCCUGGUCUGGGUCUGUGUCUGAAGCCUCCUUCCCUAGACCUGCCACCUCCACAGAAGAUAUAAGGUGCAAACUGGGGACUCCUUAGAAUUAGCAGCACUGAACAUUGACUUAAAAUCUAUUUGUAACUGAGUUGAUUAUAAAGACAGCUUAUUAUUGUUUUGUUCAAUAACUGGAUAUUGAAUGAAUGAUAGAAGGUCCACUUGGAGAGAUGCUAAAGCAGUGGUUCCCAAACUGUGCUUCCCAUUAGAGUCCUCUGGGGGCUUUUAAACCUCAGUGCCCAUGUCAUACCCCAUACCAAUUAAGUCAGAAUUUUGGGAGGUGGGGCCCAGGUGUCACUAGUUGUUAGAACUCCCCAGGUGAUUCCAUUUACACCCAGUUUGACAACAAGUCUGAUAAAUCAGUGUUUCUCAAACUUUAAUAUAUAUAACAAUCUCCUGGGGGUCUUCUUGAACUGCACAUUCUGAUUCAGGAGGUCUGAGGCAAAGCCUGUAUUUCUAACGAACCCAGUUUAUGCUGAAGCUGCUGGUCCGGGGACCACAGUAUGAGUAGCAAGGUGUGAAAGGAUUGUUAACAAUUAGCUGAGGUGCUUGCUGCUAAGUGACAAAGGAGAGGCAGAGGUGGAAAGAGCUGUGAGGGCAGGGAGAGCUUCAGGGGGCACUGGGUCUCUCUGCUGGGCCCUGAAGGAAGGGCAGACCCCAAAAGAGAAAGAGAGGAAGCUUCCUCUGCUGCUGCUCAGGCUGAGUCUUUGAGGACUUGGAAUGUAAAACAACUGCCUACUCAGCAGAAACUUUGAAGAUAGCUGGCUGUUGAUGACAAAUCUGUUCCUUCAGCUUUACACUCUCAGAACUUCAGUGUCUGAAGGCCCUGGAAUGCUGGGUUCAACCUAGUCCUUUUGUUGCAAAUGAGAACACUGGGGUCACUCAGCCCGUGUGGCCUCAGGUACAGAGCCCACCAGCAGUGGGCCCAGGACUCCUGAGAGCUAGAGGGCUCCUUACGUGGCUUCAUCUCCAUCUGGGUCAUGGUGGCCUGGCAAGGCUGCCCCAUAUGGAUCGAGCUCAGCCCACAGCAGAGAGGGGCCCUUUCUGGGGGCCCAGGAUUCUCUCACGAGGAGUCAGGGGUCAUAUUUCUGCAGGGACCCACUCCCUGCCAUGGUCUGACCCUACUCCCUCUUAAGUUAUAUUUAUUCUCUAUAAUCCUGAAGUAGUCUGCCCAAUCAUUAUAUUUCUAGGUCGUAGUAUCCCCCUUGGUAAUUAAUAGGAGGUCAAGAUACGGAAGGAGAUCCCCCUGGAAAACAAAGAGGGGCUUUCACCUCCACACUCCUCUUUAUAGGAGGUUCUGGGAUAUUGGCUCAGAGAGAGCCCUCUGCACAUGCAAACCUCUGUGAAAACUUGUCUCUCAUGGCAGGAUUGUCCUUUCACUUCCAGUCAAGGUGAAGUGCAUGAUGGGUGGUGCAGGGUAGAGGGCUGGGAGGGGGUUAUGCCUUCCAUACAGUAGUGGAAACAUCUGAGCUGGCUGGUUGGACCCUGAGAGUGCAUUUGUCAUAUGAAGGGUCAUGUGAUGUGUCAGCUUACCAGGAUGGUGGUGACACAGUGGCGACACAUGCUAGGCCUCGGAGACCCAGAGAUGAGCAAGUCCCCCUUUCUGCCUGUGGGUUGCUCCUCUGGGCUGGAGGGGAGACAGACAAAUACAACAGCAUUUACAUUGAGACACGGUGAGGGAGGCUAGGCUGUCCCUGGGCACAAUGUGAAGUCUGCAAACUGUCAUUGGGCCCCUUUCUUCUCGGGUUCCUCUCCUCUGGUUCUCUGGCUCUCUGUUGCUCCCAUUUCCUCCCCUCUCCUGUCCCUCCUUCCCUGUCUUCACAUCUGGUGGAGACGAUGUUGGUGGUCAUUAGACAGUCACACUAAGAGGCAGAUAUGCUGACUCCACAGGGCUGUCCCCCUGCCCCUCAGGCCCCAGUGCUGGUUGUCAGACAUGCCAGGUAGGCUUUGGCAGAGAGUAGAAGAUUCCACAGCUGCAGAGCCUCGCAGUCGUUGCCACAAGGAGCCCUGCCAGCCUGACACUGAGCCCAGCAGCAGGACCUUAUCUGAAGGGAAAGGGUUGUGUGCCCUGGAGGAGGUGGGAGUGAGAGGCAGGGACUAUAGACCUUCCGGUCCACAGGUUCCACAUCUGUAAAGAGCGAUGGCCCGAACACACAAGCUGUAAGCAACAAGGGACACCGAACUAGUUAAGGGUUGUUUUCAGCCCUCAGUUAGAAUGGGAGGAAAAAUAUCAGACAGGAACAAGGUAGAAAGUCAGUGCUCGUUGCACUGCACUGCCUUGGAGGUGAGGGGCCUUGGGGGUGAAUGCUCAUGGACGUGAAUGCCCAUUGAGGUGAGUGCCUUAGAGGUGAGAGUCCUUGGAUGUAAGAGCCCAUGGAAGUGAGUGCCCUUGGAGGUGAAUGGCCUUGGAGGUGAGAGCCUCUGGAGGUGAGUGCCCUUGAAGGUGAGUGCUCAUGGAGGUGAGUGCCCUUGGGCACUGUCUUCAGAGUGGAGCUCAGAGACCUACAGCUGCCUCCUUGCUCUCCUGGCUCACUCACCCACUGGCUUCCAUUUGCUUUUCCAUAAAUGGUGCUCUGUGGCUUGAGGGCACCAGUGCCAAGGCAAAUACAUAGUCACUGCAGGCCCCUUGGGCUCUCUGCUGAUAUUUGGCAGAAGCUCCAACACCAAAUCCUGAUGUUAUCAUUUCCCCAAAAGCUGUUGCCUGCCCAGCUCUUGUGCUGAUAGAAAGCGCCCUUCCAGAGCAAGGGCCUGUCAAUCUGAAGAAAGCUUUUCAUAUGUGGUUGCUUUGAGUGCAUUAGGAUUGUGCUUUUAAAAGAGUGAAUGCACAGAUUGACGGGGAAUGGCUAAAAUCCAGAGGCAGGUUGGGAGGCAGGAGGAGAGGUUGAGAAGGAAAACCACAGUGGACUUGAGGUUUCACAAGAGUGCUUGUGAAAGGGCUGGGGGUGGGAAAAUUGGCCAGUAUUGUCACGGCUACAUAGUUGAGACGUUACUAGGGUAGGUUUUGGUAAUAAUGAAGGUAUCUUCUCACGUACAUCGAAACAUAGUCUAACAUCUGUACAGAUGUUCCCAGUCGCCAAGCACUCAUUAUGGGUGUUCAUCUCAUUCUUGAUUUCAUCUCCUCUUCUGUUCAGGGGUCAGAUUUUCAACUGCUUUCCCAAACAUACCCUCACUUUGUCUCAGUCCUUUUCCUUCCGUAGUAGGAAGGAGGUUGACAAUUUCAUCUUAUUAAUUUUAUGUGCAAAGAAAAUGUAAUUUUUAAUUAUUUGUGAUGGAUAUAAUGUUACUCCAGCACCCUCACCCAGCUAGGUAGAAAAGAAAACACUUUCCUAGUAUUUCAACUUGCUAAUUAAAGCAUCCAAGCCUCUUCUGGUUGAAAAGUGUCUUUUAGCUUAAAAUUUCUUUGUGUCUUUGGGGAAACAUUUCUUUUGGGUAAAUUCUCAGUCUUUCAGAUUUUUACUCCUACCUUUUCUCCUCUCCAAGAGGGUGGUGGUGAGGCCUCACAGGAAUGGGGAGGGGACCUCAGAUGGCUGCACGUGGGCUUGCACGGACCCCUGGGACCUUUCUGCACUCUACAGCCAGGUGGGAGAUGGGUCUGGUCCCUUGGCCCCUGUGCCGGGCCUGCUCACUGCAGCUGGCCCUUGCAGCGCUUUAGGACCAGCCACUGAUGAAGGCCAUUGGUCUGGCUAUUUGCUAAAUCACACUCUGUUGAGAACCCUGCAUCUUCCCUUUCCCUCAGUGGGUUACACAGGGCCUUCUCCCUCGACUGGAUUUUUCUCUGGAGCCUAUCCACUCUCUCUGAUUUAAUCCCUUCCCUCAGCCCCACAGUGGGCUAUGUCCAUGAAAAGACAUCAGUCCUGCUGUUCUCACCCUCCCUUUGGAACCAUGGAGCUAUCUUUUGUGAAAAGGGAGGUGUUAUGGGUUCAGUUGUGUCCCCUGCAAAAAACAUACGUUGGGCUCCUAACCCCCAGUACCUCAGAAUGUGACCUUAUUUGGAGAUUGGGUGCUUACAGAGGCAAUCAAGUUAAAAUGGAGUCAUUAGCAUGAACCCUAAUCCAGUAUGACAGGAGUCCUCACGAAAAAGGGUGAAAAAGUGGGGAAACCUGGAUGCAGAGACACAUACAGAGGGAAGAUGAUGUGAAGACACAGGGAGAAGGCAGCCAUCUGCAAGUCAAGGAGAGGGGCCUGGAACAGAUCGUUCCCUCAAGGCGCUCAGAAGGAACCAACCCUGCUGACACCUUGACCUUGGGCUCCUAGUCUCCAGAACCGGGAGACAAUGAGUUUCUGUUGUUUAAGCUGCCCAGUUUGUGGUACUCUGUUUUGGCAGCCCCGGCAAACUAAUAUUGGAGGAAUUGACAUUUUUUUUUUACCCUGAGUGAGUAAAGUAGUCUUCCGAAUUCUAGUAGUCAGCUCUCCUGUCGGUACUGGGUGCUCUUGAUACUAAAUAGUAAAACCUCCUUGGAAACUUUGUGGGUUGGGACUGACUAGAGAUUGAUGUCUCUCAUUUGUGUUGGACAAAGGAAUUUAGGAGGGGCUAGAAAGGAAAUUUCCCCUCCUGUUUCAAGGAGGAUGUAUGGUUCCAGACUUUUCCAUGAAAAUGAGAAUUAUUUACCAUUGUUUUGGCUUAGGAUUGCAUUUCCACUUAAUCCAGGUUCUUCCUUGAUCACAUCUGGCCUUUCCCAUUUCUAAACCAGGCUAGCAGGACCACAGGCCUCAGCCCUCUGCUUGCCCCCGUGUCCAAAGCAAUGCCUCGCAGCUUUCUACAGCCAACCAAAGGGAUACUAAGUGACAAGGUGACACACAUCAGCCUACCUAUCAUAAUGGGUGCUCAGGCCUUUAUCAAAGUCAGGGCAUCAUUGAAAUACGGACUUUGGAAAUACUCUCCCCAGGGAUGGCUGCCAGAUGCUGGGUACCCCCAGAUGUGACAACUGUGUAGACACAUCCAGACAUCUAAGGUGGUGCUCAUUCUGCUGGCCCAGCUCCUUCCACCAAGAUCUGGGCUUAAGCUAUUUCUCCUCAUGGUAUUUCUAUGGCUUUUGAGCCUUUCAAAACACUCCUACUGAAUCUCACUAAGGAGAUGAUAACUCUGAAACCAUUAAUAAAGGCUCUUGAACUAAAAGAAGGAGAGGAUGGAAAUUCAGAAAAACAAAUUUGGAGUCAGAUGACACACUAGCACUCCUGUGGCCCCAGUCUUUGAUUUUACUGAUGCUGAAAUCAGGUCCCAGAUGUUGUGUGAUUGGCCCAGGGUCACAGAGUAAGUUAGAGGCAGAACAGGGAACAGAACCCAGACCUGCCUUCUAAGUUGUCCAGGCUCCUUCCUCUACAGAAGAGGCGAGAUGAGGCAGCUGAGGUUGUUGACUGAGGGUCCACAGCCUUCCAUGUUAGCGAUCUUUUUCCUAUAGCAAAGCUGGUAUCUUUUCCUGACACUUGAAAUCCUCCAGGCUCCCUGGCUCCAGUGCCUUUCCUGCCUCAUUCGGAGUCCUGCACCACCUGGUCCUGAC